rnacentral:rRNA from 1 species
GGCGUGGCGGCUCCUAUACAUGCAGUCGAGCGGACAGAAGGGAGCUUGCUCCCGGAUGUUAGCGGCGGACGGGUGAGUAACACGUGGGUAACCUGCCUGUAAGACUGGGAUAACUCCGGGAAACCGGAGCUAAUACCGGAUAGUUCCUUGAACCGCAUGGUUCAAGGAUGAAAGACGGUUUCGGCUGUCACUUACAGAUGGACCCGCGGCGCAUUAGCUAGUUGGUGGGGUAAUGGCUCACCAAGGCGACGAUGCGUAGCCGACCUGAGAGGGUGAUCGGCCACACUGGGACUGAGACACGGCCCAGACUCCUACGGGAGGCAGCAGUAGGGAAUCUUCCGCAAUGGACGAAAGUCUGACGGAGCAACGCCGCGUGAGUGAUGAAGGUUUUCGGAUCGUAAAGCUCUGUUGUUAGGGAAGAACAAGUGCGAGAGUAACUGCUCGCACCUUGACGGUACCUAACCAGAAAGCCACGGCUAACUACGUGCCAGCAGCCGCGGUAAUACGUAGGUGGCAAGCGUUGUCCGGAAUUAUUGGGCGUAAAGGGCUCGCAGGCGGUUUCUUAAGUCUGAUGUGAAAGCCCCCGGCUCAACCGGGGAGGGUCAUUGGAAACUGGGAAACUUGAGUGCAGAAGAGGAGAGUGGAAUUCCACGUGUAGCGGUGAAAUGCGUAGAGAUGUGGAGGAACACCAGUGGCGAAGGCGACUCUCUGGUCUGUAACUGACGCUGAGGAGCGAAAGCGUGGGGAGCGAACAGGAUUAGAUACCCUGGUAGUCCACGCCGUAAACGAUGAGUGCUAAGUGUUAGGGGGUUUCCGCCCCUUAGUGCUGCAGCUAACGCAUUAAGCACUCCGCCUGGGGAGUACGGUCGCAAGACUGAAACUCAAAGGAAUUGACGGGGGCCCGCACAAGCGGUGGAGCAUGUGGUUUAAUUCGAAGCAACGCGAAGAACCUUACCAGUCUUGACAUCCUCUGACAACCCUAGAGAUAGGGCUUUCCCUUCGGGGA